AAAUUAUCGUGUUACCAUGGAUUGUAAAAUAACUGGAUAGGAAACUAGCUGACGUCACAGUCUAAACCUAGUUGCAAUCUGUGACGUCACAUGUAUUGCCAAAGUUCUCAGCAUUUUUGUUGUUUCGCUAUAUUUUCCGCUUUGAAAGAGUAAUAUUGAAGCAUAAACUGGUCUAAUUGUUUUAAAAACAUGCCUAAGCCACGACAAAGUAUUCAAGGUAAAUGUUUUUCGUUUUUGUUUUGUAUUUUUUAACAUUUGUAGCUACGAAAUUGGCGUCGCCAAUUUUUACGAAAUUUGCGAUGCAUUUUUCACUGUUUAGUGCUUCAAAUAUUUGCUAAAAUUGACUGGAAAUACUUAGAGAUUUCAUCGUAGAAUGGCUUAGUUAUAUUUAUUUGCUCUUUGACUAAAAUGUUUAGCUGUAUUAUCGCUAAACAUGCCGUUUUUGAGAAUUUGGUUUGCAACUAGGUUUCAACGCCAUCAUCCCAUUGAAAACAUUAGGUCACGUCAGCUAGUUUCCUAUCCAUGUAUUUUAUUAUCCAUGGUGUUACCA